rnacentral:lncRNA from 1 species
GCCAGUCUACUUUAAAUAAGGAGUACAACCACUACUUUAAAUAAAUACUUUCUCCACUACAACUUGUCUGAAAUUACAUCCUUAAAUACACACUAUUUCCUCUACUCAAUUACAACUUGCUUGAGACCCUAGAAUUUGUCCAGCCAGUCUUGAGGAUGCUCUUGUUCCCCCUUCACGCAUAGUUGCAGAUCCUCCAGCUCCUGAUGUUGAUGCAGCCC